rnacentral:rRNA from 1 species
AACGAACGCUGGCGGCAUGCCUAACACAUGCAAGUCGAACGAGACCUUCGGGUCUAGUGGCGCACGGGUGCGUAACGCGUGGGAACCUGCCCUUAGGUUCGGAAUAACUCCCCGAAAGGGGUGCUAAUACCGGAUAAUGUCUUCGGACCAAAGAUUUAUCGCCUUUGGAUGGGCCCGCGUUGGAUUAGCUAGUUGGUAGGGUAAAAGCCUACCAAGGCGACGAUCCAUAGCUGGUCUGAGAGGAUGAUCAGCCACACUGGGACUGAGACACGGCCCAGACUCCUAGGGGGGGCAGAGGGGGGAAUUGUUGAACAAUGGGCGAAAGCCGAACCCAGAAAUGCCGUGUGAGUAAUAAAGGCCUUGGGGUUGUAACCCUCUUUUCCCGGGAAUAAUAAUAAGAGUCCGGGGAAAAUAACCUCGGCCAACCCCCGUC